GACGAACGCUGGCGGCGUGCUUAACACAUGCAAGUCGAACGGAAAGGCCCUGCUUGCAGGGUGCUCGAGUGGCGAACGGGUGAGUAACACGUGGGUGAUCUACCCCUUACUUUGGGAUAAGCCUGGGAAACUGGGUCUAAUACUGGAUAGGACCAUGCUGUAGGUGGUGUGGUGGAAAGAUUAGUUUCGGUAAGGGAUGAGCUCGCGGCCUAUCAGCUUGUUGGUGGGGUAAUGGCCUACCAAGGCGUCGACGGGUAGCCGGCCUGAGAGGGUGGACGGCCACAUUGGGACUGAGAUACGGCCCAGACUCCUACGGGAGGCAGCAGUGGGGAAUAUUGCACAAUGGGCGCAAGCCUGAUGCAGCGACGCCGCGUGGGGGAUGACGGCCUUCGGGUUGUAAACUCCUUUCAGCCAUGACGAAGCCUUCGGGUGACGGUAGUGGUAGAAGAAGCACCGGCUAACUACGUG
rnacentral:rRNA from 1 species